AGAUGAGCUCCUCACUGCGGCUGACCUGCGAUUCUCAGACCAGCUUGGUCCUUAACGUCCGUGGCCAGAACCAGGCAGUCAGCAAAGAGUGGCUGUUCUCAGGCCGGCAUCGUCUCCCCUCCCUCCUGGGCCGCUGCCCCAGUUCAGCCUCAGUCUCAGCUAAGCUACACUACUGCAAGGAUGAGGUUCAGAGCACGUUUGCCUUGGGUGCGGAAGAGCGUCAUUUUCACAUCAGCACCCAGCUGGUAGCUGCUAAGGCCAGUCUUGCCAACUUCAUGAAGCUGGGACAGACUUUCCUACAGCUCAGUGCUCUUCCGGGAGAGCUGGUCCUGCAGACCACAUAUGAACGAGCUCAUGGGACCUGUGUCCUGCAUCAGGAGUUGCUGUGGAAUGGCCAGGUGUUGGCCAUCACUGGGAGCCUCUCUGGGCCUCUCCCCAAGCCCUUCAGGAACCUCAGCCUGCAGGGUGCAGCUCACCUGGAACAGAGGACAGCCUGUGACCCUGCAGCCUGCCAGGGCCGACAUGUCAGCACACAGCACUGCCUGGGACGGCUGCCUGGCAGCCUCCCCGGAACAGGUAUGUGGGGCCUGGCCACUGUGCCCAGUAUGGGGCUCCCCUUUGCUCCAGGCUUCUCGGCUGCCCCGCCAGGUCAUGUACCCUAUUUUUGUCCCUAUCAGCUCCAGGAAACCUGGGGCCUGGAUGCCCUCCGGCCUAUGGGGCCAUAACACAGACCCCAGACAUGUUCAUUGUACAGCUCGACGUGUCCUGGGGCCAGCAGUGCAUGCUGCAGAACUUGACAUAUGAGGUGAGGCCUGGGGAGCAGCGUCUGGGCAGGGAAGCCCCAGGCGGCUCCACCUGCUGCAGGAUGUCCCACUCUGGGACCGUGUGGUCUUGGGUUCCAGUGCUUGCCAGAUCCUGGGAAACUCACUUCUCCGCUGUGCGCCUUGGUUUUUCAUCUGUGAAAUGGGCACGGUACUCCCUUCCUAUCUAGGAUGCGGUGAGGGCUCUGGAAGACAAGAACAGCAGAUGUUUCCAGCAUGAGAUGCUGCGAACAGAUGGGGAAGGAGGUGGGGUGCUUGUAGGCUUCUCAGGAGGGGGCGGAGGGAGAUCAGGAGCUCAGGUUCCUGGAGGCAUCAGGGACCAGGUCUCUUCCAGCAUCACUGCCUGAUGGGUUCCUCGUGGUGUUGAGCAC
rnacentral:lncRNA from 1 species